rnacentral:ncRNA from 1 species
GAGUCUGCAACUUAAUUUGACCCAACACGAGGAAACGUACCAGGUUUGGUCAUAGUAAGGAUUCACAGACUAAGAGCUCUUUCUUGAUUCUAUGGGUGGUGGUGCAUAGCUGUUUUUAGUUGGUGGAUCGUUUCCCUUGGGAAGGACAUGAGAGCAUCCCCGCCAAGAACAAUGAAGCCCUUAUUUUAGAACUACCAUGGGUUGGGGAACCCUGCAAUAGUUCGGGAGCUUAAGCAAGUCCUCAUUGCUAAUAACCUUGAUAUUAUGUUUCUUAGUGAAACGAAGAUGAAUGCUAAUGGUUUUGUGACAGCCCUAAAGUGACCCUAGUCGGAAAGCGAUCUC